UACGAAGGGGGCUAGCGUUGUUCGGAAUCACUGGGCGUAAAGGGCGCGUAGGCGGCUUUGUAAGUCGGGGGUGAAAGCCUGUGGCUCAACCACAGAAUUGCCUUCGAUACUGUUAGGCUUGAGACCGGAAGAGGUAAGUGGAACUGCGAGUGUAGAGGUGAAAUUCGUAGAUAUUCGCAAGAACACCAGUGGCGAAGGCGGCUUACUGGUCCGGUUCUGACGCUGAGGCGGCGAAAGCGUGGGGAGCAAACAGG
rnacentral:rRNA from 1 species